rnacentral:rRNA from 1 species
UACGGAGGGUGCAAACGUUGCUCGGAAUCAUUGGGCGUAAAGCGCACGUAGGCGGUUCGGUAAGUCGGAUGUGAAAUCCCUCGGCUCAACCGAGGAAGGGCAUCCGAAACUGCCGAGCUUGAGUACGGAAGAGGGUCUCGGAAUUCCCGGUGUAGAGGUGAAAUUCGUAGAUAUCGGGAGGAACACCAGUGGCGAAGGCGGCUCACUGGCCCGGUACUGACGCUGAGGUGCGAAAGCGUGGGGAGCAAACAGG